rnacentral:tRNA from 1 species
GAUCAUAUAGCUCAGUGGUUAGAGCUUCCUAGUGCAUUGGGAUGGUCCCAGGUUCAAACCCUGGUGUGGUCA